rnacentral:rRNA from 1 species
AUUGAACGCUGGCGGCAGGCUUAACACAUGCAAGUCGAGCGAGCGGCGGACGGGUGAGUAAUGUCUGGGAAACUGCCUGAUGGAGGGGGAUAACUACUGGAAACGGUAGCUACUACCGCAUACCAUCAGAUGUGCCCAGAUGGGAUUAGCUAGUAGGUGGGGUAAUGGCUCACCUAGGCGACGAUCCCUAGCUGGUCUGAGAGGAUGACCAGCCACACUGGAACGUAGACACGGGCCAGACUCCUACGUGAGGCAGCAGUGGGGAAUAUUGCACAAUGGGCGCAAGCCGGAUGCAGCCAUGCCGCGUGUGUGAAGAAGGCCUUCGGGUUGUAAAGCACUUUCAGCGAGGAGGCGUUACUCAUAGAAGACACACCGGCUAACUCUGUGUCAGCAGCCGCGGUAAUAC